rnacentral:rRNA from 1 species
CGGGUGUUGAUGUACAGUCUGGCCUGCCCCCUGAGAUUUUAAAGGGCCGCGGUAUUUGGACCGUGCUAAGGUAGCAUAAUAAAUAGUCUUUUAAUUGAAGUCUAGUAUGAAUGGUCGGACAUGAAGCAAGCUGUUUCAGCUUUAACAACUAAACUUUACCUUUAAGUGAAAAGGCUUAGAUUGGAUGGUGGGACGAUAAGACCCUAUAAAGCUUUACACUGUGUCUAUUGGUCUGGGGGGCUAAGGUUUUCAAUCCCGGUUAGGCAGAGCGUUUCGUUGGGGCGACGGGAAUAAAAAUAGUAACUGUUUUUUACAUAAAAAUAUAUGUCUAUAGGUGUGUUGAUCCUUUUUAGAGAUUAUAAGAUUUAAGUUACUUUAGGGAUAACAGCGU